ACGUAGGCAGCGAGCGUUGUUCGGAGUUACUGGGCGUAAAGGGUGUGUAGGCGGUUCUUUAAGUUUGGUGUGAAAUCUCCCGGCUCAACCGGGAGGGUGCGCCGAAUACUGAGGGACUCGAGUGCGGGAGAGGAAAGUGGAAUUCCUGGUGUAGCGGUGAAAUGCGUAAUUAUCAGGAGGAACACCGGUGGUGUAGACGGCUUUCUGGACCGUAACUGACGCU
rnacentral:rRNA from 1 species